rnacentral:lncRNA from 10 species
GAUACGUUUUUUAAUGGCGCAACAACUCAAUUUUGGUCCCAGACUCUCCAUUCUGCACUGGCCACGAGAACAACAAGAGAAUGACAGGAUGUUAAUGGAGGAAACAUUUUCAUGGCAAGCUCAGAAACUGAAGUGUUUAUAUUCAGAAUCAGAUGAGCUUUAAUAUGAAUUUGCAUCUUGCCUCUGUACUGCUUGCUAUUUUUUAAUGAUAGGAGAAAGCAUAACAGUUUAUUUUAAAUAUGAAAUAUAUUGAUAUAUUAUAAAAUAUAUUGUAACUUUCAAUUAACAUUUUGUAUCAAACUAGUGUUUAGCAGGUCCACUGUCAGCCUGCUCUCCCAAUGACUGUUUCUGAGUACACAUCACUGUUAGUGAUUGCCGGGCACCCAGAAAAAGGGUCCUCCUACCACAGCCUACUGAACUGCCAUAUUCUAAUUCUCCAAGGCCUGGGUAUUAGAGACAAAAGAACAUUAUUCCAAGAGUAGAGGAAUAAUUCUACCCUAAAUUCUAUCAAGCCAUUUCAGAAGAGAUUUUAAAAGCCAUCACUCCUUUAGUAGCUCUGCAAAGCCAGUUUAAUAAAAGUUCAGGCUCUUUCUAUAUAAAUUCAAAGGCCUCAUUACAUAAAUUAUAUAAGUCUCAAACCUAGCCAACCAGUUUUCCUUUGACAAUGUCAGAAUUGGACAUAAGAAAGAGUCCUGUUUUCCUGUAACUUAAAAUACUCAAAAUCCUAGAAGGUGGACUAGUGGGAAGUCUCUCUCCCUGAAGCAGGUGGGAACCUGUGUCUUAGAAGGCAGAGGAGUCCCAGUGAACUCUCCACAGCUCCAUGGGCCCUGCCUGUCUACAGUUAUACAACUGCCUGUAUGAGUCAGCCUUUCUCU